AGAGUUUGAUCCUGGCUCAGGAUGAACGCAAAAGGGAUGCUUACCAUGCAGUCGACGGAAUCUUCGGAUUUAGUGGCGGACGGGUGAGUAACGCGUGAGAAUCUAGCUCUAGGUCGGGGACAACCACUGGAAACGGUGGCUAAUACCGGAUGUGCCGAAAGGUGAAAGAUUAAUUGCCUAGAGAUGAGCUCGCGUCUGAUUAGCUAGUUGGUGUGGUAAGAGCGCACCAAGGCGACGAUCAGUAGCUGGUCUGAGAGGAUGAUCAGCCACACUGGGACNGAGACACGGCCCAGACNCCNACGGGAGGCAGCAUUGGGGAAUUUUCCGCAAUGGCGAAAGCCUGACGGAGCAAUACCGCGUGAGGGAGGAGGCUCUUGGGUUGUAAACCUCUUUUCUCAGGGAAUAAGAAAGUGAAGGUACCUGAGGAAUAAGCAUCGGCUAACUCCGUGCCAGCAGCCGCGGUAAUACGGAGGAUGCAAGCGUUAUCCGGAAUGAUUGGGCGUAAAGCGUCCGCAGGUGGCACUGUAAGUCUGCUGUUAAAGAGCAAGGCUCAACCUUGUAAAGGCAGUGGAAACUACAGAGCUAGAGUACGUUCGGGGCAGAGGGAAUUCCUGGUGUAGCGGUGAAAUGCGUAGAGAUCAGGAAGAACACCGGUGGCGAAAGCGCUCUGCUAGGCCGUAACUGACACUGAGACGAAAGCUAGGGGAGCGAAUGGGAUUAGAUACCCCAGUAGUCCUAGCCGUAAACGAUGGAUACUAGGCGUGGCUUGUAUCGACCCGAGCCGUGCCGGAGCCAACGCGUUAAGUAUCCCGCCUGGGGAGUACGCACGCAAGUGUGAAACUCAAAGGAAUUGACGGGGGCCCGCACAAGCGGUGGAGUAUGUGGUUUAAUUCGAUGCAACGCGAAGAACCUUACCAAGACUUGACAUGUCGCGAAUCUUCUUGAAAGGGAAGAGUGCCUUAGGGAGCGCGAACACAGGUGGUGCAUGGCUGUCGUCAGCUCGUGUCGUGAGAUGUUGGGUUAAGUCCCGCAACGAGCGCAACCCUCGUUUUUAGUUGCCAGCAUUAAGUUGGGCACUCUAGAGAGACUGCCGGUGACAAACCGGAGGAAGGUGGGGAUGACGUCAAGUCAGCAUGCCCCUUACGUCUUGGGCUACACACGUACUACAAUGCUACGGACAGAGGGCAGCAAGCUAGCGAUAGCAAGCAAAUCCCGUAAACCGUAGCUCAGUUCAGAUCGCAGGCUGCAACUCGCCUGCGUGAAGGAAGAAUCGCUAGUAAUUGCAGGUCAGCAUACUGCAGUGAAUUCGUUCCCGGGCCUUGUACACACCGCCCGUCACACCAUGGAAGCUGGCAACGCCCGAAGUCAUUACUCCAACCAUUCGUGGGGGAGGAUGCCUAACGCAGGC
rnacentral:rRNA from 1 species